rnacentral:snoRNA from 1 species
AAGGUGAUAGAUGAUGAUGAGAUGGCUCACUUUAUUUUAAAUGGUGUUGACAUUGAUUAUAAUCCGUUUGUAUCAUCUAUGCUUGGUUGUGUUGGAUCUAUUUGUUUGAGUGAUCUAUACUCUCAAUUGUUGGCCUAUGACA